rnacentral:other from 1 species
UAAAUCCUGCCCUGUUCGUGGAAUCUGGGCCCUUUUAAACCCACAUUAUUUAUAAGGGAUGCCAUAUUCCCCCGUGUAAUGCAGGCCUCCCGGCCCAGGCCGGACGUUGGAAGCAAGUCAGCGGGGGAGAGGCGACCCACCUGCCGGAGACGUGCAGGUUAUAAUUGGGCCCCCACGGCAGUGCGGGGAGGCC